CAAUCCUAAAACCAUGAGAUUGCUGGAGUCUCUAGGGCCGAAUCCUCACGUCCCAAAUAUCUGUUGCUUCUUGUCUGUUCUGACUCCUCUGUUCUAUUGCUUUGCCCAGCAAUAAGGAACCAGGGCAAGGUUGCUGCAGAAGGGACACGGUGGAUUUUCUCGCUCCUGAUGUCUUCAAAUCCAGACUUGUGCCUUCGUCAGACUCAAGUAGUGGGGCCACUGGGUGAAUUUCUCCGGCCUGUGUUAUACUGGAGCCGUAAAGGUUCAAACAGCAGGAUGAUCAUUGAAAUGUCAGCUGGGAACCUGGCUAUGAUGGUAAGAAGGAAGACCCAUCUUCCACGCUCUCAUCUCCUCAAUCAAAUGCUAACCGCAAAUUGUGUAGUAACAAGUGCUGUGAGGGGCUGGGGCAGGAAUGAAGUUCUGAGAGUUGAUUUUGCUGCCUUUAAUCAGCAAGCAGACAAUGGGGACGUUCACUAAUGUUUACACCAAGAACAGCAGAAGCUUCACAAGGAAUGGAAAUAAAUCUCACCAGCAAACCAUUUCUCUCCUCUCCAUGUUCAUUGGUGAUAAAUUUAAUAUUUUUCUUUGCAUCACAAUGGAAUGUUGCACCAUUUAAGAUAGUGCCA